GGUUUUACGUCAAAUACGAAGAGGCGAGGAACUGAUGUUGUCUCAUGUUUAUUUACAGGUUUAUUAUUUGUUUUUUGUUUGUUGAAUGAAUAAUACUAAUGAAAUUAUAUUAAUAUAAUA